UGGGGAGCUCUCCCAUAUGGUCGACCUGCAGGCGGCCGCGAAUUCACUAGUGAUUCGUAUUACCGCGGCUGCUGGCACAGAGUUAGCCGGUGCUUAUUCUGCCGGUAACGUCAAAACAGCAAAGUAUUAAUUUACUGCCCUUCCUCCCAACUUAAAGUGCUUUACAAUCCGAAGACCUUCUUCACACACGCGGCAUGGCUGGAUCAGGCUUUCGCCCAUUGUCCAAUAUUCCCCACUGCUGCCUCCCGUAGGAGUCUGGACCGUGUCUCAGUUCCAGUGUGACUGAUCAUCCUCUCAGACCAGUUACGGAUCGUCGCCUUGGUGAGCCAUUACCCCACCAACUAGCUAAUCCGACCUAGGCUCAUCUGAUAGCGCAAGGCCCGAAGGUCCCCUGCUUUCUCCCGUAGGACGUAUGCGGUAUUAGCGUCCGUUUCCGAACGUUAUCCCCCACUACCAGGCAGAUUCCUAGGCAUUACUCACCCGUCCGCCGCUCUCAAGAGAAGCAAGCUUCUCUCUACCGCUCGACUUGCAUGUGUUAGGCCUGCCGCCAGCGUUCAAUCUGAGCCAGGAUCAAACUCUAAUCGAAUUCCCGCGGCCGCC
rnacentral:rRNA from 1 species